ensembl:snoRNA SNORA70 Small nucleolar RNA SNORA70
CUGCCAUCAAUUAAGCAGACUGGAUUCCUCUGCUAGGUGCCCAGUGUGCAGUGGCUGUGAACAGCAAUCUCCUCGGUAGUGUAUCUGGCCCGUUGUUUAGUAUGCGCUGCCCUAAGGGACCUCGGAGACACUG